CAGGGAGGUAGUGACAAGAAAUAACAAUACAGGGCAAUUGUCUUGUAAUUGGAAUGAUGGUGACGUAAAAUCUCACCAGAGUAACAAUUGGAGGGCAAGUCUGGUGCCAGCAGCCGCGGUAAUUCCAGCUCCAAUAGCGUAUAUUAAACUUGUUGCAGUUAAAAAGCUCGUAGUUGAAUUUCUGCGUUGCCCGACUCGGCUACUUGCCUUGUCUGGUUUCGCUUUUGGGGUUUUCCCCUUUUUACUUUGAGAAAAUUAGAGUGUUUCAAGCAGACUUGUGUCUUGAAUACUUCAGCAUGGAAUAAUAAAGUAGGACUUUGGUUCUAUUUUGUUGGUUUGUGAACCUUAGUAAUGGUUAAUAGGAACGGUUGGG
rnacentral:rRNA from 1 species